GCAAGUUCUCACCGGCAGAACCAAUAAGAGAGAAAACUUGUAUGUAUAGGCUCAGAUGGAAGAGAAAAACUUUGCAGGGGAACUUCGCAGUAAGAAGGAAAGAGGAGAGAUGGAAGAGUGUUAUAAUAAGUUCGAUUAGCAAUAGUUAAAACAAAAGAGAAUUUGGGAUUUGAGGGAGUUGUAUAUGGCAUUUUCGCCCGUAAACAACAGCAAGUUAUUUGUCUUUUUUUUUUUCAACGUUGUGGAGCAACAUCCAUAAAUGUACUGUUUCCCCUCUGGAUUUGAUAAUCGAGCAGCACCUCUUCAUUCACUAAUUUCAACUGUUUAGUGACUGGUGUGCUGAGCAUCUUCAAGCAAAGGUGUGAUCCUGAAUGCUACAAAGGAAAUUGUAGGAAGAUCAACUUCAGUGAAUGAAGCAGAAAACCAUAAAAAAGGAAGGACUUUAUGGAAAAUAGGGAGACUUCUAAGGGCUUCAAUUCUUGGGCCCUUGAAUUGGUGGGGGACCACAAGCU